CCAGUAGGCCUAAGAUGCGCGCAUCGACAAUGACAUGAUAUGAUAAGACAAUUUUCGAUCACGUAGAUAAUUUUAUCAUUUUCCCUAACAUGGGACCAUCGAUAGAAAAGUCUAUCGACCGCUAUCGCGUGAUAACCGAAUUGUUGCCAUAUUAAGAAAAAAUUGCGUUAUUAUGUUGGCCAACCUUGAAAUAUUUUAGCUCAUUCGUUCAAUCUCGUUCAUUUCUGCUACUAAUUCGGCUAAAAACACAUAUCUUAAAGCAGUGAGAACGUCAUUAAAAAAAAGUUAUGUCAAUUUUGUUGACAUUACAUGACUGCUUGAUUGUAUUUGUUUGUGUUUUUAAAAUUGUAUUUUUAUGUUUCCAGUCUUAUUUUUAAUAUUUCUAAAGUACGGAAAAUAUCAAACGAAGAGAUAACCAAGUUAAAGAAAAACAAUGAAGAAUUCCUAAUCAUACCGAUAGUAUUAAAGAAUGAAGUCUUCAAAAUUAACAGAAUAACCGAACUCCACUACCUACCCCAUAAUGCGAGGUUUACAGUAAUUAUUCAACUUACAUGAAGCAGUCAGAAAGUUUAUUGAGAUUUGAAAAAUAAAGUUACACUCAUAUGUAGCAAAACAGUGGAUGAAGAAGUGUGGGAUUAUGAGUGAUUAUUUCAUUCUAAAGCAGACAUAAUCAAGUCUUGCUCACUAUCAUGAAAAUUUACAAUAACAAUCAGCAAGAAAAACUUCAAGGGUACUGGCUAGGCUAACCAAUUCAUGGAAUUCUGUUUGUAUUUGAAAUUAUAAAUAGCUAUUGUAAAACAAAAGUUUUCCAAAUAAAGAUUUUGUAAAUAA